rnacentral:rRNA from 1 species
CCUACGGGCGGCAGCAGUGGGGAAUAUUGGACAAUGGGGGGAACCCUGAUCCAGCCAUGCCGCGUGUGUGAAGAAGGCCCUCGGGUUGUAAAGCACUUUCAGUGAGGAAGAACGCCUGGUGGUUAAUACCCAUCAGGAAAGACAUCACUCACAGAAGAAGCACCGGCUAACUCCGUGCCAGCAGCCGCGGUAAUACGGAGGGUGCGAGCGCUAAUCGGAAUUACUGGGCGUAAAGCGCGCGUAGGUGGCUUGAUAAGCCGGUUGUGAAAGCCCCGGGCUCAACCUGGGAACGGCAUCCGGAACUGUCAAGCUAGAGUGCAGGAGAGGAAGGUAGAAUUCCCGGUGUAGCGGUGAAAUGCGUAGAGAUCGGGAGGAAUACCAGUGGCGAAGGCGGCCUUCUGGACUGACACUGACACUGAGGUGCGAAAGCGUGGGUAGCAAACAGGAUUAGAUACCCCGGUAGUC